UACGAAGGGGACUAGCGUUGUUCGGAAUCACUGGGCGUAAAGCGCGCGUAGGCGGCUUUGUAAGUUAGAGGUGAAAGCCCGGGGCUCAACCCCGGAACUGCCUUUAAGACUGCAUCGCUUGAAUCCAGGAGAGGUGAGUGGAAUUCCGAGUGUAGAGGUGAAAUUCGUAGAUAUUCGGAAGAGCACCAGUGGCGAAGGCGGCUCACUGGCCUGGUAUUGACGCUGAGGUGCGAAAGCGUGGGGAGCAAACAGG
rnacentral:rRNA from 1 species